GAUGAACGCUGGCGGCGUGCCUAAUACAUGCAAGUCGAGCGAAUGGAUUAAGAGCUUGCUCUUAUGAAGUUAGCGGCGGACGGGUGAGUAACACGUGGGUAACCUGCCCAUAAGACUGGGAUAACUCCGGGAAACCGGGGCUAAUACCGGAUAACAUUUUGAACCGCAUGGUUCGAAAUUGAAUGGCGGCUUCGCCUGUCACUUAUGGAUGGACCCGCGUCGCAUUAGCUAGUUGGUGAGGUAACGGCUCACCAAGGCAACGAUGCGUAGCCGACCUGAGAGGGUGAUCGGCCACACUGGGACUGAGACACGGCCCAGACUCCUACGGGAGGCAGCAGUAGGGAAUCUUCCGCAAUGGACGAAAGUCUGACGGAGCAACGCCGCGUGAGUGAUGAAGGCUUUCGGGUCGUAAAACUCUGUUGUUAGGGAAGAACAAGUGCUAGUUGAAUAAGCUGGCACCUUGACGGUACCUAACCAGAAAGCCACGGCUAACUACGUGCCAGCAGCCGCAGUAA
rnacentral:rRNA from 1 species